GAGGUGGCCUAGUAGUUAGAGCGUUCUCCUCGGAUGCUGGAGGUCGUGGGUUCAAUCCCCGGCUGAGUCA